rnacentral:rRNA from 1 species
GGGGGGGGGGGGGGGGGGGGCGGGUGGAGGGGGGGCGAGGGAGCAGAGGAGGAGCUUGCUCCUCUGACGUUAGCGGCGGACGGGUGAGUGACACGUGGAUAACCUACCUAUAAGACUGGGAUAACUUCGGGAAACCGGAGCUAAUACCGGAUAAUAUAUUGAACCGCAUGGUUCAGUAGUGAAAGACGGUUUUGCUGUCAAUUAUAGAUGGAUCCGCGCCGCAUUAGCUAGUUGGUAAGGUAACGGCUUACCAAGGCAACGAUGCGUAGCCGACCGGAGAGGGUGAUCGGCCACACUGGAACUGAGACACGGUCCAGACUCCUACGGGAGGCAGCAGUAGGGAAUCUUCCGCAAUGGGCGAAAGCCUGACGGAGCAACGCCGCGUGAGUGAUGAAGGUCUUCGGAUCGUAAAACUCUGUUAUUAGGGAAGAACAAAUGUGUAAGUAACUAUGCACGUCUUGACGGUACCUAAUCAGAAAGCCACGGCUAACUACGUG